CAGUAAGAGGGCGGAGUCCCCCGUUGAGGCGAACGCCGUUCCUACCCAUGAGCACAAAAGGGUGUUUUUCAGACAGAGGCCUGGUGGAGGCUGAGAUAACAGUGAUUCAGGACAGCUCACGAGGGGCUGUUGCGGAUAAAAAAAACCCUUGGCAGAGUGAGUGGACUAGAGCCGCACCGUGUGGCAUCGGAGACCGCGUGCCAAGUGCAGGGUGCAUUUGCAAAGUCGUUUCUUUCAUUAAUUCCAUUUUACAGAUGAGGAAAUUGAGGGCAGGUAAUUUGCCCAAGGUACCAAGCAAGUACACGCUGGACCACUAUUUUGAACCAGGGCCGUCCAGGUCCCCGUGUCACCAAGAUUCAGAGGAAAACUGGCCCACUUUGAGCCGCCAGACACAGAAACUUCCCUGAAGAUAUGGCUCUUGCUCUAUGGAAAAUAUGUCAGGCUGACUCAGUUUCUCUAGCACAAGUGAAAACGAGCUGGUAAGAACAGACCGGUUUGAAGCAAGUGCACAAUUCUUCGCCUUCAGGUGAGCUAGCAGCUGAAUUUCCCCGCCAGCUGGGCCUUAAAGGGCAAACAAGGCUCAGGGCAGAAGGCAUCAUGAAGCGAUCUUGGACAACGUGCGUUCUUCAUUACAUCUGCAAAAUGCCACUAGCACCUUUGACCAAACAUUAAUACCGCACGGCUUUGACAUCUUGUGAUAUAGCUGGAGUUUGAGGAAUGGGGCUAAGGGUUGAUUGGGGUCCCC